rnacentral:rRNA from 1 species
UAGGGAAUCUUCCGCAAUGGACGCAAGUCUGACGGAGCAACGCCGCGUGAGUGAAGAAGGAUUUCGGUUCGUAAAACUCUGUUGUUAGAGAAGAACAGCGCAUAGAGUAACUGUUAUGCGUGUGACGGUAUCUAACCAGAAAGCCACGGCUAACUACGUGCCAGCAGCCGCGGUAAUACGUAGGUGGCAAGCGUUGUCCGGAUUUAUUGGGCGUAAAGCGAGCGCAGGCGGUCAAUUAAGUCUGAUGUGAAAGCCCCCGGCUCAACCGGGGAGGGUCAUUGGAAACUGGUUGACUUGAGUGCAGAAGAGGAGAGUGGAAUUCCAUGUGUAGCGGUGAAAUGCGUAGAUAUAUGGAGGAACACCAGUGGCGAAGGCGACUCUCUGGUCUGUAACUGACGCUGAGGCUCGAAAGCGUGGGUAGCAAAAAGG